rnacentral:rRNA from 1 species
AGUGAACGCUGGCGGUAGGCCUAACACAUGCAAGUCGAACGGCAGCACAGUAAGAGCUUGCUCUUACGGGUGGCGAGUGGCGGACGGGUGAGGAAUACAUCGGAAUCUACUUUUUCGUGGGGGAUAACGUAGGGAAACUUACGCUAAUACCGCAUACGACCUACGGGUGAAAGCAGGGGAUCUUCGGACCUUGCGCGAUUGAAUGAGCCGAUGUCGGAUUAGCUAGUUGGCGGGGUAAAGGCCCACCAAGGCGACGAUCCGUAGCUGGUCUGAGAGGAUGAUCAGCCACACUGGAACUGAGACACGGUCCAGACUCCUACGGGAGGCAGCAGUGGGGAAUAUUGGACAAUGGGCGCAAGCCUGAUCCAGCCAUACCGCGUGGGUGAAGAAGGCCUUCGGGUUGUAAAGCCCUUUUGUUGGGAAAGAAAAGCAGCAGGUUAAUACCCCGCUGUCCUGACGGUACCCAAAGAACAAGCACCGGCUAACUUCGUG